rnacentral:lncRNA from 1 species
GCAAAUCACAGCUUGUACUUUUUGCAAGAGGUUACACAACUUGACUGAGAUAGAUGUUAGAAGUUACAUACAUGAGAUGAGAGGCAACAAAAAAUGAUCUCAUAUCAAAGAUCUAGUUGAGCACCAGCUCUGAUAACAACAACUCUACAAGUGCUUUGUAGAUAUGACAAGUUAGGGAAGCUUAAGGAAGAGAUUGAGGAGUUGAAGAUGGGGGUGCAUCAUCAGCUGACCCCAGUCUUUUCGUGGUCAUGAAGGAGAGGCUGGGGGAGUUGAUGCAAGAAGGGCAGCAUGAGUACAACUUAAUUGACUCAUUUAGUUCUCCUUUUAUCUCAUAGAUUUUAGAUUUUGGUGCUACAUAACGUAUGACUACUACCUUAUGUAAAUUUUUCACCUAUAAAUCAUGUCUUAAUAAUAGAAAAGUGGUCAUUGUUGAGGGUUCAUUGCUCACUAUAGUUGGAGUGAGAAAUGAAAAAGCAAGACUCUUAAAAGAUGUCUUAUAUGUUCCCAAACUUUCAAAAAGUUUUGUCUCUAUUAAGAAACUAGUAAAUAACCCAGGUUGUAAGGCUUUAUUUACUAAUUAUGUUUGUGUUAUAUGACAAGGAGUUGGAUCCAAAGAUUGGACUUGUUAGGGAGCAAGGAUGCCUCUACAAUACAAGGG